CUGCAAUUGCUGUGGGUGAGGUGGCACUCUACUGCAGUCCCUGUACUUUUAUUCUAUGUUAAAGUUUGGUUUUCCAUCCUCACUGUGUUCCAUUUACAUCAUUCUGGAAUGCGAAGUGGUGCUGGCAUGAAAUUUCUCCUAAGAAACUGGAUUUACUGUGAAGAGUACAAGAUGAUUUGGUCAAGUCCCAGAAGUUUUUUUUCUAUUCGUUUACAAGGCGCAUACAUGAAUCUACUGAGGCAACAGAGAUAGGAAACCUAUGAAACUAUUUUUCAUACUUGCUUUCUGCUUAUUCUG